CGAUCCUCCUGCCUCAGCCUCCUGAGUAGCUGGGACUACAGACAGGAAUUAUGGAUGGUCCUCCAUUCUUCUCCAGACUAAAAGGAAAACAUUUUUGUGAGAUAAUAAAAUAAACGGAGAUAUAGUUCACCCAGGAAAAAAUAUGUGACGAAAUAUAUGAAGACUUAUUCCAGGUACCAUGUUCAAUGCCUGAUGGCCUAAUUCAUCUAUGUUACCUGUAUUAACUAUGCAUGCUACCUGUAGGUAUUUUAUAUUUAGUCACUCAUUCACUUCAAACAUUUGGAUGAUUAAAUCUGCUUGAAAUGAACAGGGGAAGCUUUAUGGAAGAAAAGAUACUUCAGCUGGGUUUUGAAGAAAAUAGUUCUGAAAAAGGGACAUAUUUUUCUAAUUCCCACAAAGUUGCCAUAUGGGUUAGUGACUAUGUAAGAUGCUACUUACAUUAUUUAUCCUAAAUUAAUUACUUUUUUUAGCCAAUGAAAAAAAAAUUUAACAUUGCCAAUUAUAACAAUUAUAAUUCAGGUUCCCUGGCUUAUAUAAAAUUAGGUAAAUCAGUUUUGGAUUUUCAGUUUUUCAAAGAAUUAUUAAAGUGACUCUAAAGAUGUACUUAUCAUUCUCUAUACUUAAAAUUGUUUUAUGUAACCAUGAUACACUACAGGAUCCUAUUCCAUUAUCAUCCAGUUAAUAAUAUAUCUUGAAUAGUUCUAUUUCCUAUAUAUGAAUAUCCCUACUUCCAAAGACGACUUGUAAUUCACCUACGUCUACAGAAAAAGAGAAAAUAUGUCCAUAGCAAAGAGAGUCUCUUCUCUUCCCUUUUUUCAGAGACUUAAGUUCAUGAUGAAACUGCAACAUUGAGGCAAAAUCCUCUGAGUAAAUGCCUGGCAAACUUCACUGUAACUCCAACCACCAGGUCUGAUUUUCCACCCUAGGAGUUUAGUCUUGCUUUGGAUCAUAUCCAGAAGACCCAUUUGAUGCUAAAGUCAUGUUGGUGUUUCUUUUGUCUCAAAACUCUCAAAUGUACCCCUAGUCUACUAAAAAAUGGCUUCCUGGAUCAGAUGUGGAGGCAACAAAUCUCCCACAAACUUUUCUAAAGUGUGAAUGAAUAAUUUUGGCCAGAUAGUUGUGUUCUUGUCUGCACCUACAAGACUAGUGCUGAGGUGAAGUUAAAACAGGCUUUGGCAAUGGACAUUUAGAAUGAAGUUUAUCCUGCAAUAUACAAGAGAUAAAUUCAUAUCAAAGAUAGUUCUCAUUGUUUGAUCUUUCUGAAACUUCCUUGAAAUUUCUUCUAUCAAUAAUUUCACUACUGCAACUUUAAAUAUAGGCACAAUACCUUAAAGAAGGAAGUCCCACCAUUUGUUGCAUUUGAAAUUCCUUUAAAAAUGCUGGGUUAAUACUUGCAUCUCUGCUGAUAUUAUUUGUUAAACGAAGGAACUGAUUAGGUUUAUUCCUGCAUUCCUUUAAUAGGAUGCGGAAAGCAUUUGCAUUGUAAGUUAAGUAGCCAAGAGCACAGGAGCAAGCUGCUCGAACCUAAAUGAAGAAAAAAACAAUUCUUAACUAAUAUGCUUUGUUCUUAAAAUGUCUAACCCAGUGCUCUAAUUAGCUACUUCACAUGAAAGUCUCCGUAGAUAUGUAUGUAAACUGAUGGGAAUCUAUGGAUAGAAGCAUGGUCAUAUUUUUGGAUGGCUGUCAACUGCCAUUGAUUUCUAGUGGUUGUUCUCAAUCUUAAUUGCAUUUUAGAAUCAUUGGGAGUGUUAAAAAAAAAAAAAACCACCAAUUCAUAAUCUCUUGGUAGAAAAUCGGGGCAUUUGUAUUUUUUUUUAAGUGUGACAGCUGAUUCUAAUGUGCAGCCAGAGUAAGAACCUUUGAGUUUGAAGUAAGGCAGUGGAACGCAACCUUGGUUGUGCAUUGUAAUCACCUGGAUAACUUUAACAAUUAUGCCUGGGUUCUACCCCUAGAAACUAUUCUUUAAUUAUUUUGGGGUGUAGCCUGGCAUCAAGAAUUUUCCAAAACCGCUCAGGAGAUUGUAAUAGGAAACCAGGAAAGAGACUUUAGGAUAACAAGUAGGCUAAAAAUAGCCACUUAGGAAAGCAACUCAGUUUUCCACUUGGUCAAAACAAAAAAAGAAACAGCAGUCAGGCCACAGGACUCUAAAGUAGAGCUUUCCUUGAAGGAAGUAGUCUUUGCCUGUGACCCUCAAGUAAUUAGAGGUUGUUCAUAUGAUUAAUUAAAAUAUACUGCUGGGUAGUUGUUAGGGAAUCUGAUAGUUGGUAAUAUAAAAAUUUUCAUAGAACAAACAUAAACCAGGCAGGACCAUGCAGGGUACCAGAAAGUUAACAUACUGGUCUUUACAUUGGCAUCUGGCUUUUCAUUAUACCCUUGAAAACCCUGGACCUGAGUUCAGCUGUUGGAAACUUGUUAAAAAUGCAAAUUCCAGGGCCCAGCUGAGAUGUGUUGGAUCAGAAACUCUGGGAACCGGGGGGUGGGGGGGGGGGUAGGAGGCGCUAAGCAAUCUAAUAAGCCCCCCAGGUGACUCUGAUACACCCUACAGUUGGAUUAACACUGCUUUACAACUUAGGGGGAAAAAGUGGGGGAACACUCAGAGGCAAACCACUGCUGUGGCCAGCAUGGCCUCUUUCACACACCCUUACUUCUAACCCUGCUUGGCAGAUAAGGAAAACUAUCGUGUGGAUUCUACUUUCAUUAAUUCCAAAUUAUAGAAAUAACUUGGUAAGAUCACAAAGUCACCAGUGUUAAUUAGAUAAAGUAUAAACAUUUUAGUUAUAAAUUUCCAUAUUGCCAAUGUACAAAUUUGUAGAUUGAAUCUUAAUUCCAGCAUUAAGAUGGCUGUUAUUCCAUAGGGUUUUUAUUUUUUAAUUCAGAGACUAAUUUGAACAGAUAUUUCUUUUUAAAUAUUUAAUUACUAUUGGUUUAUACUGUUUUUGUAAUUAAAAUCCUAAUUUUGUCUUAGAGUUCAAACAAAGGUACACUUUUUAUGGGAAUCAGAAUUUUGGAUAGCAGAUAUGACUAAUUAGUACUAGAAAAAUCAUCAAAUUUUAAGUUAGUAACAUAAGCUAUAUAACAUAGCCAAUCAGUGGAGAAAUUAGCCCAGAGUGAGGGAGAGGCAGAUUAUAUUUUUAAUGUAUUCAAUUUUAGAAUUAGUUUUCUUUGUUUUUACCUCUUCUGUUCCUGAGUACAAAUGGUAGCAGAGACGUUGGAUUGUUCCUAAUGUGGUAAAUGCUGCUGGAAUACCACUUCUAGAUUGAACCAAGCCAAGAAAUUCUUUGUGUUUAUUGCCUCAGAAUGGGGAGGACUGGAUUAUACUGUCUAAAGCAAAAAUUGUGUAAAGUGAACUGGAACAGAAAGACAGAUGAUAAAGUGAGCAGAAAAAAAAAUGGACAAGUUUUUCACAAUUUUUUCUUUCCCCAAAUUUGGGGAAAAUCAUAGAUUUGAAGCUUAUACUGUUUUGUAUGCUAUCUGGAAUGAGGUUAUGCAUACAGAACCUAAGAAACCAUUUGCAAGAGCUGAAGAAACUGCCCCAUAGCUUCUGAUGUUCUUGGUACUGAGAUGCACUUUAUAAACUGAUAAUUGGCCUAAUGCUUCCUGAUGACUUUGAAUUUUUAUAUCAAAUAUCUAACAGCAAAUCUGAAGUCCUUGUUGUAACUUGCAAAACCGCUACCAAUGAUCAAUAUGUGUAUUAUUCACACAAGAAGAUAUCUACUCCCCUGGGCAUAUAAUCUGCAUUAUUUUCAUUAUCCAUGCCAAUAUUUCUAUUGAUAAACAUGUCUAAUUAAACAUUUUUUUAAAAUCUG